CGGCCACAUUGGGACUGAGACACGGCCCAAACUCCUACGGGAGGCAGCAGUAGGGAAUUUUCGGCAAUGGGGGAAACCCUGACCGAGCAAUGCCGCGUGAGUGAAGACGGCCUUCGGGUUGUAAAGCUCUGUUGUAAGGGAAGAACGGCAUAGAGAGGGAAUGCUCUAUGAGUGACGGUACCUUACCAGAAAGCCACGGCUAACUACGUGCCAGCAGCCGCGGUAAUACGUAGGUGGCAAGCGUUAUCCGGAAUUAUUGGGCGUAAAGGGUGCGUAGGCGGCUGGAUAAGUCUGAGGUAAAAGCCCGUGGCUCAACCACGGUAAGCCUUGGAAACUGUCUGGCUGGAGUGCAGGAGAGGACAAUGGAAUUCCAUGUGUAGCGGUAAAAUGCGUAGAUAUAUGGAGGAACACCAGUGGCGAAGGCGGUUGUCUGGCCUGUAACUGACGCUGAAGCACGAAAGCGUGGGGAGCAAAUAGGAUUAGAUACCCUAGUAGUCCACGCCGUAAACGAUGAGAACUAAGUGUUGGGGAAACUCAGUGCUGCAGUUAACGCAAUAAGUUCUCCGCCUGGGGAGUAUGCACGCAAGUGUGAAACUCAAAGGAAUUGACGGGGGCCCGCACAAGCGGUGGAGUAUGUGGUUUAAUUCGACGCAACGCGAAGAACCUUACCAGGCCUUGACAUGGUAUCAAAGGCCCUAGAGAUAGGGAGAUAGUUAUGAUACACACAGGUGGUGCAUGGUUGUCGUCAGCUCGUGUCGUGAGAUGUUGGGUUAAGUCCCGCAACGAGCGCAACCCUUGUUUCUAGUUACCAACAGUAAGAUGGGGACUCUAGAGAGACUGCCGGUGACAAACCGGAGGAAGGUGGGGAUGACGUCAAAUCAUCAUGCCCCUUAUGGCCUGGGCUACACACGUACUACAAUGGCGUCUACAAAGAGCAGCGAGCAGGUGACUGUAAGCGAAUCUCAUAAAGGACGUCUCAGUUCGGAUUGAAGUCUGCAACUCGACUUCAUGAAGUCGGAAUCGCUAGUAAUCGCGGAUCAGCAUGCCGCGGUGAAUACGUUCUCGGGCCUUGUACACACCGCCCGUCAAACCAUGGGAGUUGAUAAUACCCGAAGCCGGUGGCCUAACCGAAAGGAGGGAGCCGUCGAAGGUAGGAUCGAUGACUGGGGUUAAGUCGUAACAAGGUAUCCCUACGGGAACGUGGGGAUG
rnacentral:rRNA from 1 species